rnacentral:lncRNA from 1 species
CGGCCGUCUCGCUCCUAUGUACUAGAUCGAUCGAACUCCGGCUAACUAAUCUGCAAAAUGAAUGAAUGUAUAUAUAUAUAUCAUAAAUAUAUAUAUAUAUAAUAUGUAUAUAUGUAUAAUAUAAUAAAUGUAUAUAAUAAAUAUAUUUAUUUAUAUAUAUGUACAUAUAUACAUUUAUAUAUAUUGUGCUUUGAAUUGUUAUGAUAUAUAUACAUAUAUACAAUUGUUUAUCAUAAAUAUAUAUAAUAAAUGUAUAUGUAUGUAUAUAUAUGUCACACCCAAUUUCAAGGAAGAAAUUGAAUGCAUAAACUUAUGUGCGCCCAGAGAUCAAUCACACACAUAAGUCACAAAUUAAAUACCAUCAUCGCAGUGUUUACAACAAACGUAGUUAUUACAUCACAAAGUCUGAUAUAACAGCGGAAAUAUAAAUAUGAUAAUCUAAGAUAACUAUCUCAUGGCCCUCACACAGGGAAGGUCGACUGGUGAAGCACAAGCCUAAUAGUCCUCCGGGUAGUCCUCAUAGCUACCACCAUCUGUUACCCAUCCGGGAUUUUUAUCCAAAGAAAAGAAAUAUACAAGCGUGAGUACAUCUCGUACUCCACAAGCAUAGCAUGAGGAUUUAUGAGGCUCAAACAGGCUAGACUAGGUUUACUGCAUCAGCUUUUUAGUAGGUCAGUGUUUUAUCAUUAAUUAUUUUAGUUUAUGCUUAAGCUCCCAAAUAUCCCGUAUGAUCAGUUAUUAGAAUCAUAGUAAGUCAAUAAGUCACAUUAAAGCAUAAUUAUACAUCAUCAUGUACCAUAUAGCCAUCAGUAACUAGUUAUUCUGUGAGUUUUCCGGGCCGCUCGUGACCAUGAGCACGGCUGUUAUAACAGUUUUACACUCUGCAGAGGUUGUGCACUUUCACCGUGAGUCGUGUUGCCCAUAUGCCCGGGGUCCGUCGACCCCCAAACACUACCAAGGUGAGCGGGCAGGGUACACUAUGAAGCCUUCCAUAGGCCUAUUCUAACCAGUUAGGGCCGCGAGGUUUCCUCGGCAGGCAGAUGUAGAAAACCCCCCUUUUCUAUGGCACAUUUCCAUCGCGGCUAUACUCAUACAAACAGGGGCAGCCCUACACCCAAAGUGGCAAGCCCCUCUUGCGCCCUUUCGGGUAACCUCUAACGAGUUAGAAAAGGUCCUAUUACUGAGCUAAAGUCAGAGCCAUGUGACUCUCCCGGUUGCACUGUAAGUCCCAGCUUUUGCCGACAGAUAAGUCCUUACGGAGGGUCUAGGACAACAUGACCAACAGUCAUUUAUACCAUAGCCCUAUGUUCCAUUUAUCAUAAUCAUGUUUAAUCAAUUAACCAUGGUUCCUUCACUGAUUUCAGAUCAUAUAUAAUUGGAGUUAGAGCACUAGCACUUCUACCCAUAUGCAAUAAAAAACCUCGGAAAUAAGGUAAUUGUCAUCAACAGCUAGGAUGUCCUUAUAGUUUGCAAUAAUUGUCAUCAACAGCUAGGAUGUCCUUAUAGUUUGCAAUAUUAUACACAUGCAGGGUGAAAUGCUUAAAAAUGAGUAGGACAACAAGGUAGGCCCAUGCUAUACUUGCCUUGGUUCACGUACUCCUGCUGGUCUUGCUGGUCCUGCUGAUCCCCAAAGAGCUCCGGACUCCCGAAAUACUCCUCACCGUCUGGGCUCGAUCAAUACAUCACAAUCAUCACGCAUACCAAGACAAACAUACAAGAGAACAAUUCCUAAAGUUAGAACAGUACACCAGCAGUAAAUAAAUUAAAUAAAAGUUUUUCAAAAUCAUCUACGUGCUGCUACGAUCAAGUCAACGCGAAAUUCACGGAAAACGGACUUACGACGCGAAAGUUACGCUUUUAACGGGAUUUCAAUAACAAUCUACGGACUUGUAAUUAACUAGGAAAUCUAACAGUGGUAAACCUAAACAACAGUGGUACCAACGCGAAGCUUACAAAAUUACGAAACUAACGCAACUUGAACGGAUUGAUUCGGAGUUCAAACGACGAUUUUAUAGCUAAAACAAUGCGGUGGCAAUUCGGUAAAUAAAACAGAGUCUAAACGAAUUUAAAUAAACGAAAUAAAUCAUGGAAAUUCCUCUGGCCGAGGACUGCGGUGCAAAUAAAAAAAUUUUGGGGGACUCUUUAACAAGAUAUCAUAUGAAGGGGUAUCAAGUGUUUCUGGACGUUGGAUCAAGUUUGAACGCACCAGAUUAAAAGAAAAAAAAAGAAAAAAAAAUAAAAAGAGAGAGAGGAAGGGGACGGCGCACAGUCCACCACCGGCACGGUGGCCACCAUGGCCGGCCGCCUCAAGCUCGCCGGAGUUGAGCGGAGGAGGUGCUACGGUGCACGGUUUUCGAUUCCGAUUGAACUGGGAGAAAGAGGAGAGCGAUGCGAGUCCAUUCCACCCCAUAAACGCGGUCGAGGAGGCGGUUUUCGAGAAGGUUCACGGCGGCGCCAUGAACGUCCCCGUCGGAGCUCGUGGAACUCAGACUCCGAGCCACGAUUGACCAAACCGAGCACACAGGGAGGAUGAGGGAGGCAAGGCGAGCUCGCUAGAACACUUGGCGCGGCUGUGGAAGGUCCUACGCGGCACGCGCCAUGGCCGGCGGCCAUGGAGCUCGCCGGAGCUCCGCGGACAGCACUGAGGAGUGCGCCGUUUCGCGAGAAAAAUAGACGGGGAGGAAGCGGGAGAGGAGAGGAAGCUCACCACGGCGCCAAAUCGCAGCGAAAACGGCUCGGAACGGCGGCCUACGCGCGGCCGACGAAGAACUUCCGGCGGCGGUUUUCUCUGCGC